GGCUCAGCCUGUAAUCCAGUGCUUUGGGAGGCUGAGGGACCUUUCUACUACUGGGCACUAAAUCAAAAGCAUAUAGCUGAGGUAAAAUGGGUGCCAUAUGGAAACAUUUUGAGAAAAAUGAAAGUGUAAAAACAUCAGACAGAAAUUAAGAUGUGUUUCUGAAAGUUGCAUGAAGUGUCCAGCCUCUCCUACCUCUCCUCGUCUCUUCCGUCUCUGUCAACCAAAACAGCAAGACGAUGCUCUCCUGUUUCAGCUCAUCCUCAGCUUCUCAUGGUGAAGAUGGCAAGGAAGGAGAACUUUAUGAUGGCCCAAUUCCAUUUAAUGAACAAUAAAGAUAUACUUUCUACUUCA